CGGGGCGUAGCCCAGCCUGGAUAGGGCGCCAGCAUGGGGGGCUGGAGGUCGCGGGUUCAAAUCCCGCCGCCCCGA
rnacentral:tRNA from 1 species